rnacentral:rRNA from 1 species
GAUCCUGGCUCAGAACGAACGCUGGCGGCGUGGAUAAGACAUGCAAGUCGAACGAGAGAAUUGCUAGCUUGCUAAUAAUUCUCUAGUGGCGCACGGGUGAGUAACACGUGAGUAACCUGCCCCCGAGAGCGGGAUAGCCCUGGGAAACUGGGAUUAAUACCGCAUAGUAUCGAAAGAUUAAAGCAGCAAUGCGCUUGGGGAUGGGCUCGCGGCCUAUUAGUUAGUUGGUGAGGUAACGGCU